GAAGAGUAGAUUAUAUUUUUUUUCAGAAUUAUUCUUCUCCCAAGCUUUCAAGGACUUCUUUUGAGGUACUCUUAGUUCGGGUGAGGAGUGAUGGCUAGGCUGAGGAAUGGUCAUCAUUAGGAUUUGACUUAGGAUUUUAUGUUGGAUUUUGUUUAACUAUUAGUUAUGUUAUUUUGGAUCAUUUGGUAUUUGGAAGUUAUUUGGAAAUUGAAUUUUGAGGAUUUUAGAUUUUGUUUCCGCUA